CAAAGUACAUGUACAAAAAGUUAAUUGAACUCUCGAAAAGCGUUUCUGUAAUGUUGCAACUUAACGAUAAUCGGUACAAAAGCGGCGACAGGAACAGAGAUGGCGGCAAAUUUCGCCCCGCUCGCACUGCUACCAGCGAUCGCCGGCGGCGAUCUGACUUAUGCCCAGGGCGAGGGAAGGUUUUCCACCGUCCCCGUCCUCAAUUACUAGGAAGAUCUCUAAAUCUCUCGCUCCCUCAACAAGUUACUUCUGUUUCUUCAUCUCCCCAAGAAUAUAUAGACGAUUGAAAUUGCAUACCUGAGUGCUUAGAGAGUGGGUACUGGCGACAAAGAAGAUGGUAUCGCUGAAGUAGUUAUUGCUCAGGAAGCGGCUUGUUGAACUCCAGACAGAUGAUAGAACUUUGGGACUUUAACAUGAUAAAUGGGAAUUGUUUCACGUGUUGAAUUGCAGCUAUCUCGCAAAUCUUCAGCAACAUUUGAAAGCUAUGAUGCAUCGACAUAGACACGUGUGUCCGACAUGAUAUGUGUCGGAUACGUCGACACGCGAUUUUUCAAAAAAAGUUCUCUGGAAUUCCUUGAAUGGGAAGGAGCUAUGUUUGUCGGCACGGGAUACAUUAAAUUAAAGAGUUCGUGCAAUGUACAAACAUGUCAUCAACAACGAGGGCAACUCCCAAAAGAAGGUUGGUACUUGAACAUUUAUUAGUGUAUGCAUCAUAUAUUCAUGUAUGCAUAUAUCUGUGAAGAUUGAUGUAAUAAACAUAAUGAUGUUGUUUGUUCCCAAGAAUUGAUUAUGAGAAGAUGCUAAACAAUUCCCUUGUACCACCAAUGUCCAUCCAGCGGAAAAUUCAUUAUUUUUUAUUUAGUAUUAAUUGGAGUGUCACCACGUCUUCAUAAUUUGAUGUGAAGAGUCACUGUUCACUAUAAGAAAAUGUCCAACGAACUUUAUGAGAAGGUAGAAUAUUGGGGUUCUAAUGGCGGAAGAAGGGGGUUGUGCUGGGGUCAAAUUUAUCACGUUGCUAGCUGUUAUACUUACUCUUUCUUAGACUUGAAUAUCAAGCUUAAAUCACAUGUAUUGCAGUAGAAUUUGAACGGUAAGAUAUUUGAACCCAUUUUAUAUUCAAUUAGAGCCUGUUUGAACCACAUUAUAAUGAGAAUGAGAAUGAGAAAUA